GACGAAUGCUGGCGGCGUGCUUAACACAUGCAAGUCGAGCGGAGCGGCGAACGGGCGAGUUACGCGUGUGUAACUGCCCCCCUUUCCGGGAUAACAGUUGGAAACGGCUGCUAAUACCGGAUAGUGGGGGAUGACCCGCGUCCUAUCAGCUUGUUGGUGGGGUAGUGGCACACUAAGGUGACGACGGAUAGCCGGCCUGAGACGGCGACCGGCCACAUUGAGCUGAGAUACGGCCCAAACUCCUACGGGGGGGUGCAGUGGGGAAUAAUGCACAAUGGGAAAAACCCUGAUGCAGCAACGCCGCGUGCGGGGUGCCGGCCUUCGGGUUAAAAACCGCUUACAGACAUGACGCGGGGGUGGCAGAAGAAGCACCGGGUGACUACGAGCCAGCAGCGGCGGAAAUU
rnacentral:rRNA from 1 species